rnacentral:rRNA from 1 species
GAGGAAUAUUGGUCAAUGGACGCAAGUCUGAACCAGCCAUCCCGCGUGCAGGAUGACUGCCCUAUGGGUUGUAAACUGCUUUUAGUAGAGAAGAAACGCAGUCAUUUAUGAUUGCCUGACGGUACCUACAGAAUAAGCACCGGCUAACUCCGUGCCCGCAGCCGCGGUAAUACGGAGGGUGCGAGCGUUAUCCGGAAUCACUGGGUUUAAAGGGUGCGUAGGCGGGGAAUUAAGUCAGUGGUGAAAUCUUGUCGCUUAACGAUAAAAUUGCCAUUGAUACUGAUUUUCUUGAAUUGGGUUGAGGUUAGCGGAAUGUGACAUGUAGCGGUGAAAUGCAUAGAUAUGUCAUGGAACACCAAUUGCGAAGGCAGCUAGCUGGGCCUUGAUUGACGCUGAGGCACGAAAGCGUGGGUAGCGAAC